rnacentral:rRNA from 1 species
UACGUAGGGUGCGAGCGUUGUCCGGAAUUACUGGGCGUAAAGGGCGCGUAGGCGGCCUACUAAGUCGGACGUGAAAUCCCUCGGCUCAACCGAGGAACUGCGUCCGAUACUGGCAGGCUGGAAUCCGGGAGAGGGAUGUGGAAUUCCAGGUGUAGCGGUGAAAUGCGUAGAUAUCUGGAGGAACACCGGUGGCGAAGGCGGCAUCCUGGACCGGUAUUGACGCUGAGGCGCGAAAGCUAGGGGAGCAAACGGG